rnacentral:rRNA from 1 species
UACGGAGGGUGCGAGCGUUGUCCGGAAUCACUGGGCGUAAAGGGCGCGUAGGCGGCCCUGGCAGUCGGUGGUGAAAGCCCGUGGCUCAACUGCGGUCGGCCACCGAUACUCCAGGGCUCGAGUUUGGUAGAGGCAGAUGGAAUUCCGGGUGUAGCGGUGGAAUGCGUAGAGAUCCGGAAGAACACCGGUGGCGAAGGCGGUCUGCUGG